rnacentral:rRNA from 1 species
GGGCCCGCACAAGCGGCGGAGCAUGCGGAUUAAUUCGAUGCAACGCGAAGAACCUUACCAAGGCUUGACAUAUAGAGGAAAAGUGCAGAAAUGCACUCCCCGCAAGGUCUCUAUACAGGUGGUGCAUGGUUGUCGUCAGCUCGUGUCGUGAGAUGUUGGGUUAAGUCCCGCAACGAGCGCAACCCUCGUCCUAUGUUGCCAGCACGUAAUGGUGGGAACUCAUGGGAUACUGCCGGGGUCAACUCGGAGGAAGGUGGGGAUGACGUCAAGUCAUCAUGCCCCUUACAUCCUGGGCUACACACGUACUACAAUGGCCGGUACAGAGGGCUGCAAUACCGCAAGGUGGAGCGAAUCCCAAAAAGCCGGUCUCAGUUCGGAUUGAGGUCUGCAACUCGACCUCAUG